GGAUCAAUGGAUCGGUCAUGCCUUGGUAUGUACUGGCCUUAUUGGUUCUCACCUUCUAAUGAACCAUAAUGUCAUUCAUUUGAUGUUAUGGGGAAUUAGGACUGUUACCUUGAAAAAAUUAGAGUGUUUAAAGCAGGCUAACGCUUGAAUACAUUAGCAUGGAAUAAUGAAAUAGGACAUCGCAUUCUAUUUUGUUGGUUUCUAGGAUCGACGUA
rnacentral:rRNA from 1 species